AUUGAACGCUGGCGGCAUGCCUUACACAUGCAAGUCGAACGGCAGCACGGGAGCAAUCCUGGUGGCGAGUGGCGAACGGGUGAGUAAAGCAUCGGAACGUGCCCAGUCGUGGGGGAUAACGUAGCGAAAGCUACGCUAAUACCGCAUACGAUCUGUGGAUGAAAGCGGGGGUCCGUAAGGCCUCGCGCGAUUGGAGCGGCCGAGGUCAGAUUAGGUAGUUGGUGGGGUAAAGGCUCACCAAGCCGACGAUCUGUAGCUGGUCUGAGAGGACGACCAGCCACACUGGGACUGAGACACGGCCCAGACUCCUACGGGAGGCAGCAGUGGGGAAUUUUGGACAAUGGGCGCAAGCCUGAUCCAGCAAUGCCGCGUGCAGGAUGAAGGCCUUCGGGUUGUAAACUGCUUUUGUACGGAGCGAAACGGCUUCCACUAAUACUGGGGGCUAAUGACGGUACCGUAAGAAUAAGCACCGGCUAACUACGUGCCAGCCGCCGCGGUAAGAC
rnacentral:rRNA from 1 species